UACAGAGGGGGCGAGCGUUGUUCGGAAUUACUGGGCGUAAAGGGCGCGUAGGCGGCCCGCUAAGUCGAACGUGAAAUCCCCAGGCUCAACCUGGGAACUGCGUCCGAUACUGGCAGGCUUGAAUCCGGGAGAGGGAUGUGGAAUUCCAGGUGUAGCGGUGAAAUGCGUAGAUAUCUGGAGGAACACCGGUGGCGAAGGCGGCUCUCUGGGACGGUACUGACGCUGAGACGCGAAAGCGUGGGGAGCGAACAGG
rnacentral:rRNA from 1 species